UUUAAAGCUUUUUAAACACCAACAGACUGCCGUUUACGAUCGCUCACGACUCGGUCCGAGUAAUUCAGGAGUCCUCUUUACCCCGCCCUUACGUUUUCACAGAUUUAGGACGUACUUUUAGGAUUGAAACGCUUUAAUAAUAAUAAUAAUAAUAAUAAUAAUAAUAAUAAUAAUAAUAAUAAAAAUAAAUAAAUAAAUAAAAAAGGUAGUUUUAUUUCAAAUAAAACACACCCAAGUCGAGAGAUUCUCCUCCAUCCGUUUUAGCCUCAGGAAACAAUACAGAGUUGGACUGUUGCAACACUAACAGGACAAAAACUCAACUGAACGAGAGGUUUGCAUUUGCAUCAUGUGCAAUAACAAACACGUCUUGAUUUUUUUUUCCCCCCUUCUCUCGAUUCUUAGCGAGAAUUCAGAGCGUCUUAUAUUCCAGGAAAUACGGUACGUUUCAACGGUAGCAGAUUCCCGACGUUGACAGAAAUGCUUGACGAGAACUUUUAAGCUGUUAUUUCCAUAAUCAACUGAGGAUGUUUGCAAAAAAACAAUAUAAUUAAAAAAAAAUUAAAAAUAAAAAAAAAAAUUUAAAAAAAAAAAAGAGAGAAGAGAAACACGUGUAAAUAUGCCGUUUUGCUUGUUAAAUAAAUAAAUAAAUGAAUAAACAAAUAAAUAAAUAAAUAAAUGGAGAAUCUGUCAUUUUGUCUUUGUUGUCGGAUUGAGAUUUAGGAUUAUUCGGAGGUGCAGGGAAUGAAACGUCUGCACAGCUCCGAGGAUAAGGAGCGCAAAAUUAUGACAGAUUGCUCUUCUUUACCGUUUCUGGUAAGUGGUGAGCGUCGUGUACGUGUUUUAACACCGGUAAACGGUGUAGAAAUCUAAAUCAUCUGAAAAUCAUUCGUUACAGGUAAUAGUACAACGUAGGCAUUACCAAUGCUGAUAAAAACUGAAGUGCGAGGACGGGAAGGAAAUUCAUCGUGGUUUAAAUAAAUAAAAUAAAAAUAAAUAAAUAAAAUAAUGUAUCUGGGUCAAGCAGCAGAAUGAAACUGACUCAUGGUGGCAUUGUUUAAAAAUACCAAAUCUAACCACAUUUCGUGCCACUUCGGUGUGUCGGUCUUCCGUUCUACUUUAACCAGAG
ensembl:lncRNA